rnacentral:rRNA from 1 species
GACGAACGCUGGCGGCGUGCCUAACACAUGCAAGUCGAACGGAAAGGCCCUGCUUUUGCGGGGUGCUAGCGUGGCGAACGGGUGUGUAACCCGUGAGUAACCUGCCCUUGACUUUGGGAUAACUUCAGGAGACUGGGGAUAAUACAGGCGUGGAGCUCCUGCUGCAUGGUGGGGGUUGGACAGUAUCGGCGGUGGGGGAUGGACUCGCGGCUUAUCAGCUUGUUGGGGGGGUAGUGGCUUACCCAGCGAUCGGCGGGUAGCCGGCCUGGGAGGGGGACCGGCCACAUUGGGACUGAGAUACGGCCCAGACUCCUACGGUAGGCAGCAGUGGGGAAUAUUGCACAAUGGGCGGAAGCCUGAUGCAGCAACGCUGCGUGCGUAAUGACGGCCUUCUUGUGGUAAACCGCUUUCGCCUGUGACGAAGCGGGAGUGACGGUAAUGGGUAAAGAAGCACCGGCUAACUACGUG